rnacentral:rRNA from 1 species
UUGACGUGGGGGCACCCUGACCGCAAUGCCGCGUGAGUGAAGAAGGCCUUCGGGUUGUAAAGCUCUUUUGUCAGGGAAGAAACACCGGCUCUAACACAGUCCGGGAAUGACGGUACCUGAAGAAUAAGCACCGGCUAACUACGUGCCAGCAGCCGCGGUAAUACGCAGGGUGCAAGCGUUAAUCGGAAUUACUGGGCGUAAAGCGUGCGCAGGCGGUUAUACAAGACAGGCGUGAAAUCCCCGGGCUUAACCUGGGAAUGGCGCCUGUGACUGUAUAGCUAGAGUGUGUCAGAGGGGGGUAGAAUUCCACGUGUAGCAGUGAAAUGCGUAGAUAUGUGGAGGAAUACCAAUGGCGAAGGCAGCCCCCUGGGAUAACACUGACGCUCAUGCACGAAA